rnacentral:rRNA from 1 species
GGAAUAAAGUCGGGUAUGCAUACCCGUUUGCAUGUACUUUAUGAAUAAGGAUCGGCUAACUCCGUGCCAGCAGCCGCGGUAAUACGGAGGAUCCGAGCGUUAUCCGGAUUUAUUGGGUUUAAAGGGAGCGUAGAUGGAUGUUUAAGUCAGUUGUGAAAGUUUGCGGCUCAACCGUAAAAUUGCAGUUGAUACUGGAUGUCUUGAGUGCAGUUGAGGCAGGCGGAAUUCGUGGUGUAGCGGUGAAAUGCUUAGAUAUCACGAAGAACUCCGAUUGCGAAGGCAGCCUGCUAAGCUGCAACUGACAUUGAGGCUCGAAAGUGUGGGUAUCAAACAGGAUUAGAUACCCUGGUAGUCCACACGGUAAACGAUGAAUACUCGCUGUUUGCGAUAUACGGCAAGCGGCCAAGCGAAAGCGUUAAGUAUUCCACCUGGGGAGUACGCCGGCAACGGUGAAACUCAAAGGAAUUGACGGGGGCCCGCACAAGCGGAGGAACAUGUGGUUUAAUUCGAUGAUACGCGAGGAACCUUACCCGGGCUUAAAUUGCACUCGAAUGAUCCGGAAACGGUUCAGCUAGCAAUAGCGAGUGUGAAGGUGCUGCAUGGUUGUCGUCAGCUCGUGCCGUGAGGUGUCGGCUUAAGUGCCAUAACGAGCGCAACCCUUGUUGUCAGUUACUAACAGGUGAUGCUGAGGACUCUGACAAGACUGCCAUCGUAAGAUGUGAGGAAGGUGGGGAUGACGUCAAAUCAGCACGGCCCUUACGUCCGGGGCUACACACGUGUUACAAUGGGGGGGUACAGAGGGCCGCUACCACGCGAGUGGAUGCCAAUCCCUAAAACCCCUCUCAGUUCGGACUGGAGUCUGCAACCCGACUCCACGAAGCUGGAUUCGCUAGUAAUCGCGCAUCAGCCACGGCGCGGUGAAUACGUUCCCGGGCCUUGUACACACCGCCCGUCAAGCCAUGGGAGCCGGGGGUACCUGAAGUGCGUAACCGCGAGGAUCGCCCUAGGGUAAAACUGGUGACUGGGGCUAAGUCGUAACAAGGUAA